AAUCAACGCUGGCGGCGUGCCUAACACAUGCAAGUCGAACGCGAAAGGGGCUUCGGCCCUGAAUAGAGUGGCAAACGGGUGAGUAACACGUGGGUGACCUACCUUCAAGUGGGGGGAUAACGUUCCGAAAGGAACGCUAAUACCGCAUAUUGUCCCGUCUUUAGACAGACGACGAUGAAAGCCGGGGAUCGCAAGACCUGGCGCUAGGAGAGGGGCCGCGUCCGAUAGCUAGUUGGUGAGGUAACGGCUCACCAAGGCGACGAUCGGUAGCCGGCCUGAGAGGGCGGACGG
rnacentral:rRNA from 1 species